CGGUGUCUCAUUGUUCCGCUGUUUCAGAGAAGCAUGCAGUUGAGCUUGUGGGUUCCAGAUGCCCAAGUUGCCUACAGGCAGCAGUGUCCCGCCGACCCCAGCGUGGCAAAAACCGACUGCAAUGUCCUGCAGGUGGAGAUAGGCUUCGAGAGGUGGCCAGCAAGGCCCGCGGAGCCCCAGAGGGAUGCUGCAUGACGGACAAGGUUGGAGAAGGCCUCUGACCACAAGAGGACGCGGGUCUCUGAGAACUGCCCUGGCAGGAGAAUGGCCCCCGGCCCAGCUGCCUUCCCACGACCCCAACGCAAGCCCGAGGGCUUCGGGCCUGACUUGGAGCAAGUGCAGCCUCUGUUUGGGGAAGGGGUGCCCAGCGCCCCGGGCAGCCAGUUAAGAGGGUAUGGCAAACCCAGCUGGGUGUUUAUGGAUGUGUGUACAGCAAAGGAAACAGUCCACGAUAGCCUCUGGCAAACGCGUAAUCCCAACGUCUUGGUGUGGAGUGCCGUGGACUGUAAAUAGGGGGAAAGAAAGCACUUCUUUCACAGUUUGGAGAAAAUGGAAGAGUAUGAUCAGGAAACAGAAAAUAGGUACUAUUCAUGUUGGAGCUUCUGAAGCCAGUUUUUAGAAAAAUCUUGAUUGAUGCAGACUUUUUUUUUCUAUUUGUGUAUCUUGCAUUUUAUUUUUUUUUAUUUUUACUUUAUUUUGCAGACUCUUUUGUCUUUAUUGUGGAAAGUAUCUUUUAUCUUUGCCUCACUACAAAAAUUGGUUUUACAAGAAUAAAGCUUGACUCAGCAACUUGCAAAUAGCAAAGUCCAUGAAUAUUAACCAAGUUGAGAAAAGAAAGAACCAUAAGAUCCAAGUUUCUAAAUUUAACACCUGGAAAAUUGGUGUCCUGAGUCUUUACUGGGGCUCCUGGGUUCACUGCCCACAUGAUGUUUAUUAGCUCUGUUCCUCUGCUGAGUUAACAGAAUUUCCUAACCUUGCAUGAUUCAGGAAGUGAGCCAAUCUGAUCAAGAUGCAUUAUUCUUUUAGUGUUCUAUUGAUACUAUUCAUGAAUAGUCUAUUUAGGAUUUUUCCAUCAGUAUUCAUAAGUGAGAUUGCUAUAUGUGCUGUUGUGUAGUCUUUCUUGGCUUUUAAAAUAGGUAUACUCACUUUAUACAAAGAAUUUAAAAGCUCCAUUAAUUUUUGUGUGUGUGUGCUCUGAGAUACUUUAAAAUGCAUUGGGAAGGUCAAUGAUGUUAUUGGUUCCAACAGAAGCAGAGACCUCCCACCCAUUGACCCCAGGCUUUGCCAUUGGACUUAACCUGGCCAGUGAAAUGUGAGCCGUAGUGAUGAGUGUCACUUCUGGACAAAAAUUUGGAGAGCGUGUGUAGUUCCAUCAUUUCUGUGUUCCGUCUUGCCACAGGAAUAGCAUGUCCCAAGAAGGCAAGGCUUCUUCAGGCUUGAAUUGAGGAAGAUACAUGGAACAGAAUCACUCCUGACCCGGAGCAGAUUGCAAGUAAAACAUAAAUUCUGGGNNNNNNNNNNNNNNNNNNNNNNNNNNNNNNNNNNNNNNNNNNNNNNNNNNNNNNNNNNNNNNNNNNNNNNNNNNNNNNNNNNNNNNNNNNNNNNNNNNNCGGAGCAGAUUGCAAGUAAAACAUAAAUUCUGGGGACAUCGGGUACAAGAUCCCACGUGCCCUGGGGCAACUAAGCCCGUAGGUCACAACUAGUGAGCCCGAGGGCCCAGAGCUAGUGCUCUGCAAUGGGAGAAGCCACUGCAAUGAGACGCCUGUGCACCGCCAUGGAGAGUAGCCCGCGCUCACCACAACUAGAGAAAGCCCACGCACAGCAGGGAAGACCCAGUGCAGCCAAAAAAGAAAAGUUUUAAAAAUAAUAAUAAACUCUAUUGUCAUAAACCAUUGAGAUUUGGGUGAUUUUUAUUAGCAAAGCAAAUUACCACUUAUUCCUGGUUCACAGGAAGAAGUGUGGGCUGGAGCCCUUAGGCCAGCCAGCCUCACUCCCAGGAGCAGUAGCCUCCCGUCAUUUGGAGCCACAUAAAACUUUCUUAGAGUAAGGAUGGAAAAAAAUGGAGUACUUGUGGGAAUUCUG
rnacentral:lncRNA from 1 species